AGAUGUAAGGGCAAUUUGGAUUUAACAUCUGUCAUCCCAUUGAUGACCAGGGUUGAUUGGGCUGACCUGGCUGGCUAGAUAGGUGUCCCUCUCCCAUUCCUUGGGCAUCCAAAGCUGCACACCCAGUCACAGAGGACAACCUGUAGCUGAGAAUCCUUCUUCAGUCAAGGGUAUCUGAGUAACUGUGCUAGAACCUCCAGACAAGCUCUCAAGAAUGCUUAUUUUUAUAUCAUUUGUAAUAGUGAAAGGACAGAAAGAAAGUAAAUAUUCAUCAAUAGCAUUACAGCAUAU
ensembl:misc_RNA 7SK 7SK RNA